rnacentral:misc_RNA from 1 species
GAUGAAGAACGUAGCGAAAUGCGAUAAGUAAUGUGAAUUGCAGAAUUCAGUGAAUCAUCGAAUCUUUGAACGCACAUUGCGCCCGCCAGUAUUCUGGCGGGCAUGCCUGUUUGAGCGUCAUUUCAACCCUCAAGACCCCUUCGGGGGACUUGGUGUUGGGGACCGGCACAGGGGCCUGCCUGCUUGUCUUGCAGCGCCCUCGCCGCCCCCGAAAUGAAUUGGCGGCCUCGUCGCGGCCUCCCCUGCGUAGUAGCACAAACCUCGCAACGGGAACGUGUCGGCGGCCACUGCCGUAAAACAACCCAAUUUUAUUAGAGUUGACCUCGAAUCAGGUAGGAAUACCCGCUGAACUUAAGCAUAUCAAUAAGCGGAGGA